UCAUAUUAUACUACCAUCAUUUUUAACAGAAAUUUUGAAAACCUGCCUGUCUUCCUCUCCCAUCCCUCCUUACCCAAAGACUUGCAAACUGAAACAGUCGCCUCUUCCAACAGCUUCAACUCGGUACUGCAGAGACAAAAGGAGAGAGUAUAGGCACCGCUGAAGCAAGCACGAGGACUCUACUAAGUAUCUCUGGCAGAGAUUCACUGAGUCACUGGAUGCAGGUGUCUAGGCUCAAAGGAUGAAGGACUGGCUCCCUUCAAGGAUCACACUGCCACACAUGAUGACAUGGACCUUCUUCAACCUGGAGUCAUGGAAUUUGAGCACCAACCAAUGUGAGACCAACACAAGGCAGUCUUUCUGACUCACUUGGUCCUACACACUGGCAUCCCUGUACCUCCAAACGGAGAGAAUUAAGCCCACUAACACUUACUCAUGGCUAUCAAGUUCCAGAAAUCUAAUAAA